CCAAAGAACAUACCAGAACCUGGUUCAAGUAGUCAACAGAAGGUUUGUAAGUAAGUGCUGAAAUAACAGCACUCUGUUCACUAUUUGUAUUACUCUGUUUGACUUUGUUUGCCCAUUCCAGAGAAAAUUUGUACAUUUUGCCAGUUCAUGUUGACAAGUGUCUUCAUAAGUGAGUUUAACCAGUUCAUUCAAAGAUGCAAAUUCAUUCUGAAACAGUAUAAGGAAGUGACUUUGAGUAAGUGAAUCAUUAACUCAUCUAAUUAGAAAUACUUUGUGUCUCUUAUAUUUCCAGCGUCAACGUAAUAGAAUUGAUGUAGACACUCUGCGAGCACUAAUUGAAAGCAAAGGUCUGAGUAUAUUGAAGGAUUAUGAAGCUUCAGGAAUGCUUUCAGAGACAUCAAGAAAAGUCCUUGUGAAGAUAGGUGUCAGUGCGUUGGUGGAACAAAGUGGAUUUUACCCUUGUAAUGAUGAGAAGCGGAUGUUGGCAGAAAGUGUAGUAACACUGUUUCCUUCUCUGAAGAUCAAGAUGGGAGAAGAGAAUGAAGGAUUUGAACAUUUCUAUGACCCAGUCUCCCACAGUGGAUUUAUUGAGAUGAGACUUAGAAAUCUACGGAGGAAACUUUGUGAUGAUCAGCGUCGUUACCAACGCAAACGUAGUCGAAUCAGUGAUUUGUAAAUAUAAGUAAGACAUUAGCCUACAAGAGUCAGGUUCAAACAAUGUUUCAUUGGAAAUUGGGAAGUCCAUUAACAGAAAAAAUAUCCGUCCCAAAUGAUUUUCCAGUCAUGGUUGGAUCUUUGGAAAAAAAGUGUUCUGUUUGUUGAAAGCAUGAAAGACUUUGGCUAUGAACUUGACACAUGUAGCACUGUUCAUGUUUCUCACUCUGUUAAUGUGUUUGGUCAGACAUUUCAAACUGGUUGUGUACUUGCUUUAAACCGUGACUGAAGAGAAGAGUAUCUCUUUGGUGAAGUUCUACGCAUAGUUCCACAAUGUGAAAAAGGAAUUGUUUUAGUUUUUCUUAGAGUUUUAUCACAAAUGUAUUUUCACACACACUUAUAUGCUUAUGUAGUCAAAAGAACCAAUGAAUACAAAGUUAUGAAUUUGAGCAAUGCUGCUGAUAUAAAACCACUUCACAUAAUUUCUUGCAAAGAAAACCUAUUUGUAAAUCCAAAAUAUAAAAUUGU